GUGCUGUGGCAGGGGGAAAGCCCCAUCUGCCCCAGAGCAAGAACAAGGAUGACAAUCUCCUAGUAUCAGGCAAGCCACUAGGAGUCAACUGUGCCACCAGGAGAGCAACUCAGAAGUAAAGAUGUCCAACAGCCCUUUUCCUCCACAAACCUGACUGUGCAACUGCUAGAUCCCCCAGGGCAGAGUCAGCCCAACCCGGAGGACACACCACGGCCUCCCAAAACAGGCAUCCCGCACAGUCAGGAUACUCCAAAUGAGCAAACCCACAUCUGCACCCUGGGACAGACAUUAUGGAGGCAGCAAGAACCUCUUCAUGCGAUGCUGCC